GUGCCAGCAGCCGCGGUAAUACGUAGGGUGCGAGCGUUAAUCGGAAUUACUGGGCGUAAAGCGUGCGCAGGCGGUUCGUUGUGUCUGUCGUGAAAGCCCCGGGCUUAACCUGGGAAUGGCGAUGGAAACUGGCGAGCUUGAGUGUGGCAGAGGGGGGUGGAACUCCUGGUGUAGCAGUGAAAUGCGUAGAGAUCAGGAAGAACACCGAUGGCGAAGGCAGCCCCCUGGGCUAACACUGACGCUCAGGCACGAAAGCGUGGGGAGCAAACAGGAUUAGAUACCCUGGUAGUCC
rnacentral:rRNA from 1 species